GAUGACUUACAAAUGAAUAGCUAGGUGCCCUAUUCUUGAUGAAAGGCUUGUGACAUGAAGUGAUAGCUAGGUUUAAGAAGUGAAAUAUUAAAACAAAAGCCAUGGAUCUUUAAAGCCCAGCAGCAUUUAAAGACAGAUUUUGAGUUAUAAUUCACAAGAACAACU
ensembl:snoRNA